rnacentral:rRNA from 1 species
GGUGGAUUAGUGGCGAACGGGUGAGUAACACGUGGGCAAUCUGCCCUUCACUCUGGGACAAGCCCUGGAAACGGGGUCUAAUACCGGAUAACACUCUGUCCCGCAUGGGACGGGGUUAAAAGCUCCGGCGGUGAAGGAUGAGCCCGCGGCCUAUCAGCUUGUUGGUGGGGUAAUGGCCUACCAAGGCGACGACGGGUAGCCGGCCUGAGAGGGCGACCGGCCACACUGGGACUGAGACACGGCCCAGACUCCUACGGGAGGCAGCAGUGGGGAAUAUUGCACAAUGGGCGAAAGCCUGAUGCAGCGACGCCGCGUGAGGGAUGACGGCCUUCGGGUUGUAAACCUCUUUCAGCAGGGAAGAAGCGAAAGUGACGGUACCUGCAGAAGAAGCGCCGGCUAACUACGUGCCAGCAGCCGCGGUAAUACGUAGGGCGCAAGCGUUGUCCGGAAUUAUUGGGCGUAAAGAGCUCGUAGGCGGCUUGUCACGUCGGAUGUGAAAGCCCGGGGCUUAACCCCGGGUCUGCAUUCGAUACGGGCUAGCUAGAGUGUGGUAGGGGAGAUCGGAAUUCCUGGUGUAGCGGUGAAAUGCGCAGAUAUCAGGAGGAACACCGGUGGCGAAGGCGGAUCUCUGGGCCAUUACUGACGCUGAGGAGCGAAAGCGUGGGGAGCGAACAGGAUUAGAUACCCUGGUAGUCCACGCCGUAAACGUUGGGAACUAGGUGUUGGCGACAUUCCACGUCGUCGGUGCCGCAGCUAACGCAUUAAGUUCCCCGCCUGGGGAGUACGGCCGCAAGGCUAAAACUCAAAGGAAUUGACGGGGCCCGCACAAGCAGCGGAGCAUGUGGCUUAAUUCGACGCAACGCGAAGAACCUUACCAAGGCUUGACAUAUACCGGAAAGCAUCAGAGAUGGUGCCCCCCCUUGUGGUC